UUGCACGCUGGCGGCAGGCCUAACACAUGCCAGUCGAACGGUAACAGGAAACAGCUUGCUGUUUCGCUGACGAGUGGCGGCCGGGUGAGUAAUGUCUGGGAAACUGCCUGAUGGAGGGGGAUAACUACUGGAAACGGUAGCUAAUACCGCAUAACGUCGCAAGACCAAAGAGGGGGACCCUCGGGCCUCUUGCCAUCGGAUGUGCCCAGAUGGGAUUAGCUUGUUGGUGGGGUAACGGCUCACCAAGGCGACGAUCCCUAGCUGGUCUGAGAGGAUGACCAGCCACACUGGAACUGAGACACGGUCCAGACUCCUACGGGAGGCAGCAGUGGGGAAUAUUGCACAAUGGGCGCAAGCCUGAUGCAGCCAUGCCGCGUGUAUGAAGAAGGCCUUCGGGUUGUAAAGUACUUUCAGCGGGGAGGAAGGGAGUAAAGUUAAUACCUUUGCUCAUUGACGUUACCCGCAGAAGAAGCACCGGCUAACUCCGUG
rnacentral:rRNA from 1 species